GACGAACGCUGGCGGCGUACCUAAUACAUGCAAGUCGAGCGGACGAAUCGAAAGCUUGCUUUUGAUUCGUUAGCAGCGGACGGGUGAGUAACACGUGGGCAACCUGCCCUGUAGACGGGGAUAACACCGAGAAAUCGGUGCUAAUACCGGAUAACACGAAAUGUCGCAUGACGUUUCGUUGAAAGACGGCGCAAGCUGUCGCUACAGGAUGGGCCCGCGGCGCAUUAGCUAGUUGGUGCGGUAACGGGUCACCAAGGCGACGAUGCGUAGCCGACCUGAGAGGGUGAUCGGCCAAACUGGGACUGAGACACGGCCCAGAAUGAUACGGGAGGAAGCAGUAGGGAGUCUUCCGCAAUGGACGAAAGUCUGACGAAGCAACGCCGCGUGAGCGAAGAAGGCCUUCGGGUCGUAAAGCUCUGUUGUUAGGGAAGAACAAGUAACGCAGUAACUGGCGUUACCGUGACGGUACCUAACGAGAAAGCCACGGCUAACUACGUGCCAGCCGCCGCAGUAA
rnacentral:rRNA from 1 species